AUGGUGAGUAAGCGUACGAUCCAUCACACAAACGUCACCCUUGAAACGAUUGUCGAAAAUGCAGUGGAUUAUCUCAAGUAUUUGAAACAUGACGUCGAGCUUUUAGGUCAUAUCAUGGUCAGGGCGCAACAGAUCUUUUUUGAGUACUACAAAGUUGACAUAGUUGAUAAAACUACCAUUGCGGCUAUGGCCUUUACCAUAUGGCGAAUGAGGUAUCAUGACGAUAAGAGAUGGAAGUUGUACAUUCCAACUAAGGAAGAAGACGCAUUCAUUAGGUGGGCAUACUAUGGUGGGCAUGUAGAUGUGUACAAGCCUUACGGGGAGAAUUUGUAUUAUUACGAUGCCAAUUCGUUAUAUCCGUAUAUAAUGAAAACAUGUAAAAUGCCCGGCGGGAAGGGGGUGUGGCAUGACAAUUUCUGUAACAAGAAAUUGGACGAUUUGUUUGGCUUUAUACAAGCGUUGGUGUAUAUACCUAAGCAUGUAAAGCGUCCUUUUCUCCCAUUUAGAGACCUUGAUGGGAAGGCUCUGAAAUUCGGAGUUGGGUACGUGUAUGGGUGUUACUUUAGUGAAGAAUUAAAGCAUGCUAUCAAAUUAGGGUAUGAUGUUACGCCGUGCUAUGGGUACUUGUUUGAGCCUAUUGAUGGUCCAUUUGCGGAAUUCAUAGAUGAUAUGUAUUCAAGGAGAUUAGAUGCUAGAGAUAAACAAUUAGGAGCCAAAAGCUAUAUACACAAGUUGAGCAUGAACAGUGUGUACGGUCGUUUGGGUAUAAAGACCGAAAGCACUAAGGCUGUCCUUUGCUCUAAGGUUACAAGUCAAGUGUUUAUGCAUAAGAAAAAGGGUAAAGUGAUCGAUGUACUCGAACUGGGAGAGUAUAAUUUAAUCACUUAUAAAGAGGACGUAUACGAUGAGAGCAAUGGAUGGAAACCGCCGGUGAACACGUGUCCUCAGAUAUUAGCAUGCAUUACGAGUUAUGUCCGUAUAUAUAUGGACCAAUUUGUGUCACGGGAUGACUGCCUCUAUACGGACACAGACUCUGUAGUUUUAGAGAAUCCUCUUCCCGAAUCUAUGAUAUCAGAUAGAGAGCUUGGUAAGUUUAAGCUAGAACACGGCCUUAUUAGGCGUGCGAUUUUUACUGCUCCUAAAAGCUACUUCUUGGAGGUCAAAGGGGGUAAAGAUGUCAAAAAGUAUAAGGGUGCACCGUCUGGUGUGGUUGAAAAAAGUCACUUCGUGAACUUGUUAAAUAAUGUUCACUCUAAAUGGGUGAUCAAUUAUGAAAAGAACUUUUCAGUGGAUUGGAAAAAUCUAGUCAUACGGAAACGUAUGAGCCAAAUAACAAUGAGAUUGGGAGGGGCUAAAAGGGUACUCAUCUUUAAAAAGGGUGUGUGGGUCGACACAAAGCCAUACGUAUUUACGAGUGAAGACUUGUUAAAAAUGUUGAAAGAUCAGCCUACUAGCAGUCUAAUAUUACAGCUGUGGGAAGAUAAUAAAAGGCUGAAGGAUGCGGCUGAACUAAGCAGGGUAAUCCGAGAAGGAUUGAAUAAGGGUAAGACUUGCGAGGAUGAUCAUGUUGAUGAGAGUGAUUCUAUAGAAGUGAAAGAUCUGGGGGAAAAGAAGGGAACUAAUAAGAAAGGAACUAAUAAGAAAGGAACUAAUAAGAAAGGAAGUGAUAAGAAGAAUGGAAGUGAUAAGAAGAAAGGAGGUAAUAAUGAUUUGGAAGUGACAGAUCUGGGGGAAAUGAAAGGAGCUAAUAAGAAAGGGAGUGAUAAGAAGAAAGGAGGUAAUAACGAUGUGCAAUCUUCUAAUAAGAAAGGAGGUUGA
rnacentral:rRNA from 1 species